rnacentral:sRNA from 1 species
CCCUGCCCACCAGGCUAUGAGCCCGAUGAUCAGGAGAGCUGUGUGGAUGUGGACGAGUGUGCCCAGGCCCUGCAUGACUGUCGCCCCAGCCAGGACUGCCAUAACUUGCCUGGCUCCUAUCAGUGCACCUGCCCUGAUGGUUACCGCAAGAUCGGGCCCGAGUGUGUGGGUGAGUCCAGGAAACAGCUUCUCUAGUCCCAGCUUUGUGUCCCUGGUCUGGCCCUUGCCCUAGCACCUGACCCCCAUUCAACCCAGGCUUCACCCCGGCCCCUGCCACCUCACCCUCCUGUCAUCAGACACAGAGGACUGUAGGGGGGUAUGUUUGGGAGGUGUCCUGCCUGACCCUAAUUCAGCUCCCCGGACACAGGAUUAUGGGUGGUGAAGCCUUGAGUCCCAGCCGGCUCGAGCCCACCUGCCCUCUGCCCUCUGCCCUCCGCCCUCCUUCUCCUGCCUCUAUCCCCAGACAUAGACGAGUGCCGCUACCGCUACUGCCAGCACCGCUGCGUGAACCUGCCUGGCUCCUUCCGCUGCCAGUGCGAGCCAGGCUUCCAGCUGGGGCCUAACAACCGCUCCUGUGUUGAUGUGAACGAGUGUGACAUGGGGGCCCCAUGCGAGCAGCGCUGCUUCAACUCCUAUGGGACCUUCCUGUGUCGCUGCCACCAGGGCUAUGAGCUGCACCGGGAUGGCUUCUCCUGCAGUGGUGAGAGCUCCAUCCCUGCUGCGUACUCCUCCGUGGGCCCCCAGGACCUAGCUAUGCCGUGCCUCCUGCCACACAGUUCUCCAUCUGAGGCCUCCGCAUCCUGUCACUGUGCACCCAGCUGCCUCCUGGGUACUCCACCCCGGCUGGCUGUGGAGCACUCCCAGGCUAGUGGGGGAGGCACAAGGAGAGGCAGCUAGGUCCUUACUGAAGCCUACUGGGGAGACUGAGCAUGUGGGUGCCACCUGUCCCACGUGUCAGGCUCACCUGCAUUUACCUGCAUUUGAAUUUUGCACUAGGACAAGUCACUCUUCUCUCUGAGUCUGUUUCUUCUUCUAUAAAAUGGGUUGUCUUGAGGAUUAGGUGAGAGUGUGAUAGAUGGGCUCCAGCAAGUCUCAAGCUGCAGUGCUUUAAAGUGAAUGAACUGCCACUUAAUGAGAACCUGCCCUCGUAGUGUAUUCCCUGACACACUUGACCUCCUUCCUCUCAAGAACCCUAGGAGUUCUGGGCAGAGAGAAGUCUGUGAGCUGGGGCAGCCUGGGCAAGCUUUCUUUGAACCCUCCAUCUCCCGGCUGAGCUUGUGGCUUGUCUCAUCCCCCUCUGUCUUCCUACAUUCAGUCUAACAUGGGCCUGGGCCUUCUUGGGAAAUGUUUGUGGGACUGAAUGGUGAGGAAUGCCCUUGACCCGGGGUCCCCAUCCCAUGCUUCCUCAGAUAUUGAUGAGUGUAGCUACUCCAGCUACCUCUGUCAGUACCGCUGCGUCAACGAACCAGGCCGUUUCUCCUGCCAGUGCCCACAGGGUUACCAGCUGCUGGCCACACGCCUCUGCCAAGGUACAGGUUGCCCGGGUGGGAUGGGCAGGA